CUGAAGUGAUCCUAUCUUGUGACUCAUUCAUGGCACGUCUAUAAGUCAAGCUGGAAUCCUCUAAAAUAAGUCACCCGGGAAAAAAUUCUGAUCUUAUUCUAGACGAAGAAUGAAAAGCCAGGAAGCUACAUAACCCAAGUUAACAAACUAAAAAAUUAAAAUAACAUAUCCCAGAAUGGAAAUCAAACAGAUAGAAUGCCGAGUACAUAUUAAAUAAGGCAAGCUAUUUAUGAUGAGCUAACUCACUUGCAAGUUACCAGAGAGCAUGGAGUAAAUCCUUUAUUUCUCAUGUCCUCAUUGUGCCUAAGACUGUGUUUCUGUACACACAUAAAAAAAUAGGAAAUCAAUGGUUUCCAAUGCUGAUGUGUGAACUCUUCAGGAUCUGGAGGAACAUUAUUAAAUUGCUCCAUUAGCUUUCUCUUCUUUGGGUUGAAAAUAAAAACUGUGAUGCCA
rnacentral:lncRNA from 1 species